AUGUUACCUCCUGAAGACAUUAUGUCCCAAACUUCCAAAAGGUUUAGUAUGAAAUCAUUUAAAGGCAUAUUGAAGUCAGAGACAACUUCAGACCGUGUGAUACACCACAAAAAAGCAGAAGAAACAAGUGUCUCAGUUCCUCAAGUGUUUCAUCCUGAGGCACGUCAACAAAAAGAAAGUACAACCGAUGUGAGAGCAGUACCAGUACCAGAGCUAGUUGCAAAGACAGCCUCUCUUCACAGUCAAAUUGUAGAGUAUCCUCCCUGUGAAAAAGAAGAUCACUUGACUCUCUUGAGUAGCCAUGCUGGCAGUGAAGAAAAACAACCUGAAGGUACAACUGAAGUAAGGCCAUUGCAAGAGCCAGCUGUACCAGAGGCUGUAUCACUAAAAGAGGAUACUUUAGAUUUAAUACAACAAGCAGAACAUCUUCUCCACCGGAAAGAAGGUGGAGUGGCAUUCUUAGAUGAAGAAGAAGAACCUCUUGAGACCACAGUAGAUUUGAGGCCAGAUGGAGUAGUCCUUAAAACAGAAAUGUUGGAGCCUCCAAAGCCAACAGAACGUAGAGUGUCUUUCUUAGAUGACUAUGAUAGUGAUGAUAAUGAUGAAGAAGAACAAAUCGAACGUCUAUCUGAUCUAACAUCAGUUAAAGGUGAGAGGAGGUCUUUGACUCCCCACCGGAAAAAAGAUGGGGUGGCUUUCUUAGAUGACAAUUUUGAGGAGGAGGAGGAUGACGACGAGGAACAUUUUCAUAAUGCAGUUGAUUUCCUGAAAUCAAAAAAAGUGCCAUUCCAAAGUGGAACUUCCAGACAUAAAGAGCAGUCAGGAAAAAUGUCUUCUAUUUCACACAUGAAAGCGGAUGAUGAAGAUGAUGAUGAUGACGAUGACAUCUUUGAGAGUGCGACUGAUUUGUUGAUACCACAGCAAGCACCAUUUGGGCGUGAAUCUUCAGAACAUGGAAAGCAUUCAAAAGAAAUGCCUUUUAUCUCCCACAAGAAAGAGGAUGGGAUGGCCUUCUUAAGGGAUGUUGCUGGUUAUGGCACUUCUCAACGAGAGCAGCUUGAGUCAGCAGAAGAUACAGGCAAAGUACUCAAAGAAAAUGAAACUUCAACAUCUGUAAAUCAGGCAAGAUGGUUUCCCACCAAAAAGGACACUAAUGUAGCAUUAGGAAGUGAUGAAGAUGACAAUGAACAGUCCCAACAGCAGAAAUGA
rnacentral:lncRNA from 1 species